rnacentral:tRNA from 1 species
UAAUUUUUAAUAUAAAUAUAUUUGGCUUCAACCAUUUAAACCCUAGAAUUUCUAGAAAAUUAU